GUGUCAGCCGCCGCGGUAAUACGGGGGGUGCAAGCGUUACUCGGAAUCAUUGGGCGUAAAGGGCGCGUAGGCGGCCAGGUAAGUCAGGUGUGAAAGCCCGGGGCUUAACCCCGGAAGUGCAUUUGAUACUGCUUGGCUUGAGUAUGGGAGAGGGAAGUGGAAUUCCUGGUGUAGAGGUGAAAUUCGUAGAUAUCAGGAGGAACACCCGUGGCGAAGGCGACUUCCUGGACCAAUACUGACGCUGAGGCGCGAAGGCGUGGGGAGCAAACAGGAUUAGAUACCCUGGUAGUCCACGCAGUAAACGUUGUUCACUAGGUGUAGCGGGUAUUGACCCCUGCUGUGCCGAAGCUAACGCAUUAAGUGAACCGCCUGGGAAGUACGGCCGCAAGGUUAAAACUCAAAGGAAUUGACGGGG
rnacentral:rRNA from 1 species